rnacentral:rRNA from 1 species
GCCAAGGGUCUGCAACGGAACUACUGACGGAGUUACUCGUCAGACGGGUGAGUAGUGGGAGGGAAAAUAAGUUUAGGUACUGAAGGCAUUUGGAAACAACUGCUAAUACCGUCUGUGCCCUAUGCGGGAAAGAUUUAUCGCCUAAGGAUGGGCCCGCUUUGGAUUAUCUACUUGUUGGGGUAACGGCCUACCAAGGCCACGAUCCAUAGCUGGUCUGACAGGAUGAUCACCCCCACUGGGACUGAGACACGGCCCACACUCCUACGGGAGGCAGCCGUGGGGAAUAUUGGACAAUGGGCGCAAGCCUGAUCCAUCCAUGCCGCGUGAGUGAUGAAGGCCCUAGGGUUGUAAAGCUCUUUCAGCGAGGAGGAUAAUGACGUUACUCGCAAAAGAAGCCCCGGCUAACUUCGUGCCAGCAGCCGCGGUAAUACUAAGGGGGCUAGCGUUGUUCGGAAUCACUGGGCGUAAAGCGCACGUAGGCGGACUUUUAAGUCAGGGGUGAAAUCCCGGGGCUCAACCCCGGAACUGCCUUUGAUACUGGAAGUCUUGAGUCCGAAAGAGGUGAGUGGAACUCCGAGUGUAGAGGUGAAAAUUCGUAGAUAUUCGGAAGAACACCAGUGGCGAAGGCGGCUCACUGUGCUCGGUACUGACGCUGAGGUGCGAAAAGCGUGGCGAGCAAACAGGAUUACAUACCCUGGUAGUCCACGCCGUAAACUGAUGGAAGCUAGCCGUCAAGCAGCAUGCUAUUUGGUGGCGCAUCUAACGCAUUAAGCUUCCCGCCUGGGGGAGUACGGUCGCAAGAAUAAAACUCAGAGGAAUUGACGGGGGCCCGCACAGCGGUGGAGCAUGUGGCUUUAAUUCAAAACAACGCGCAGAACCUUACCAGCCCUUUGACAUUUGGUGCUACUUUCGAGAUAUGUGAAAGGUCCCUUCGAGGGAUCGCUCAGGACG